CUCUUCGAUCGGUUUUCUCCGUAGGCUCCAUCCCUCGCUGCCAUCUUGAUUAGAAGUUUUCAUUUAAUCUUGGGCUCUCACCAGCUGCCACCACGUCUCUGCUCCCCGCUGUCAGGGUUAGAUGGGCUCGCGGUUGACGGAGGUCGGAGGAUCUCACUGAGGGUGCAGGAGGACUCCACGCUCACUUCUUUCCCCAGCACAAAGGCUCGGUCAGAGCCGAGGCCAAGGAGAUCCGAGAUGGCCGACAUCAGGUCCUUGAGAGGGAGAUUUAUUUUGAAGGUAAAGAGAGACAAAUCUCCCAUCACUCCCCAGAUGCUCACCCAACAGCUGGGACUGGGCCAGGCAGAAGGCGCAUUAGCAGGGAGCUGGAUAGGAAGAGGAGCAGCCGGGACUCAAAUCGGCGCUCCUACGGGAUGCCGCCAUCACCGACGGUGACUCAACACCAGCUCCUCCUGUGACUUUCUGUAUUCUUGUCCCUCCGUGACUCACAUGGCUUUAUUUUAUUGUUAAACUUUUAAUUCUAAUUUUAAAAUAAAUUCUACAACUUCAACCUACCAAACCUGUCAGUAGUGGUCCCAUCCGUCAACCCAUCUGGGCCUGAGCAUCCCCGUGGAAUGCAGGGACGUUACCCUCCUGUGGCUGAGAAAGCUGAGGCUUGUGCUGUUCAGAAGGUUUGCCCAGCCCAAAGAGGGGAAUGGGUUUCUUUUAAAAAUGUGAGAGAGAGAGAGAGAGCGAGAGAGAGCUCUUCCAUCUGCUAGUCCACUCCCCAAAUGGCUGUGUCAGCUAAGGCGGGGCCAGGCUAAAGCUGGGAGCCUGGAACUCCACCCGGCUCUCCCACGUGGGUGGCAGGGACCCAAGCACUUGAGGCACCGCCUGCUGCCACCCAGGAUGCGCAUUUGCAGGCAGCUGGAUUGGAAGUGGAAACAACUGGGAUCAGGUUUUCUGAUAGGAGGUGUGUCCCAAGGAUGUGUUUCUACUUCCAUCAUGGAGCCUCAGGCUGGCCAUGGACUUGCAAGAGACCACAUGGCUGGCAAACGGCAGAGCCUCCCAGCCUGGCCCGACUCACCUUUCCUAACACACGGCACAGGCGUGGUUCUCAUUCACCAGCUGACUUGUUGCUAACCCCGGGGUCUGUACUCCAAGUGAAGCUGGAGGCACAGGUGAGGUGCCACCGACCCCUGGAUAAAGCCCCUCGCGGUCAGCCCCGGUGCCCCCUCCAGGCUGCAGACCUCUGCCCUGCCUCUCUGCCUCCUUCCCUAGGCCCUGGCUCUUCCGUCCACUCUGCCUACUGCAGCCUGUGCUCCUGGCGCCUCCCAGUGGCUAGCAGUAUCAGUGCAUCAAAGACUAAUCAGAUUCCUGGGAAAAUCCCUGGGAUGGGAGAAUACAGAGAUUGAAGAACCCUUAGGCUCCGAUUAUUUUAUAAAUAAUUUCCAUUGUUUUCCCCAGAGGCGAACUGACCUGAGCCCAGAGAAGGACCUAGGAAUCCUGGUAUCCAGGCCGGUUUCCUAGAUGGGCCAUCUUUGAGUAGUGACAUGUGUGACCAAGUGACUGAAUAGGAGUGACACGUGUGAUUCAGGGAAGGAAAUGACCCAAAGCAUCCCUGAGGUUUUAGGGCCAACAGCACGAGCUAAGUAGAUUUCAGCGGGGUCUUGUGCUUGGGCAUAUAGCUCUGGGGAAAGGAAGACUGGCGUCGUGGGUAAAGUCACUGCCAACAGUACCUGCGUCCCACAUGGGCACCGGUUUGAGUCCCGGCUGCUUCACUUCUGAUCCAGUUCUCUGCUAUGGCCUGGGAAAGCAAGAGAAGAUGGCCCAAGUCCAUAGACCCCUGCACUUGUGUAGGAGACCCGGAAGAAGCUCCUGGCUCCUGGUUUGAGAUCAGCAAAGCUCUGGCUGUUGUGGCCAUCUGGAGAGUGAACCAGCAGAUGGAAGACCUCUCUAUCUCUCUCUACCACUGCCUCUCUGUAACUCUGCCUUUCAAAUAAAUAUUUAAAAAGAAAGAAAAAAGGAGUGGGUUACAACUUCCCUGCACGUCAAUUUCCUCCUCUGUAAAAUGGGGAGAAAAAGAGCAUCCAGGUCCUUCGCAGGAGUGAUAUGGUGCACAAGGCACAGUGCCUGGCAUCGCAUAGGAAAUUAACUCGGGAGAGUCUUUGUGACUCGGCUUGGGUGAAGAUCUCUCAGAGGCAGCAGUGACAGCGCCGUCUGUCCAAGAAAACGAUGGGCAAAGUGGACUUCAUAGAAAGGAAGAACUGCUCCCAGGAAGACAAGCUGCGAGAAGGAGACGUCAAGUCACAGACCGGAAGAAAGCAUCUGCAGGUCAGGAAUUUGAUGAGAGACCUGUGUGUCCCGCAGUCCUUCCGGACCUGUUGGGUUCAGGCAUCCGAAG